CCUACGGGAGGCAGCAGUGAGGAAUAUUGGUCAAUGGGCUUACGCCUGAACCAGCCAAGUCGCGUGAGGGAAGACUGCCCUAUGGGUUGUAAACCUCUUUUGUCAGGGAGCAACGCCGGCUACGUGUAGCCGGACUGAGAGUACCUGAAGAAAAAGCAUCGGCUAACUCCGUGCCAGCAGCCGCGGUAAGAUGGAGGAUUCAAGGGUUAUCCGGAUUUAUUGGGUUUAAAGGUUGCGUAGGCGGUCGGAUAAGCUAGAGGUGAAAUCCCGAGGCUCAACUUCGGACUUGCCUCUGAUACUGUGCGGCUAGAGAGUGGGUGCGGUAGGCGGAAUGUGUGGUGUAGCGGUGAAAUGCUUAGAGAUCAUACAGAACACCGAUUGCGAAGGCAGCUUACCAAGGUACUUCUGACGUUGAGGCACGAAAGCGUGGGGAGCGAACAGGAUUAGAUACCCGGGUAGUC
rnacentral:rRNA from 1 species